rnacentral:rRNA from 1 species
UUUACGGAGAAAGCUUUAUGCACCAUUGGAUGAGCCUGCACUUGAUUAGUUUGUUGGUAGGGUAAUGGCCUACCAAGACUGUGAUCAAUAGCUGAUUUGAGAGGAUGAUCAGCCACAUUGGGACUGAGACACGGCCCAAACUCCUACGGGAGGCAGCAGUGGGGAAUCUUGCACAAUGGAGGAAACUCUGAUGCAGCGAUGCCGCGUGAGUGAAGAAGGCCCUUGGGUUGUAAAGCUCUUUCGUCGGGGAAGAAAAUGACUGUACCCGAAUAAGAAGGUCCGGCUAACUUCGUGCCAGCAGCCGCGGUAAUACGAAGGGACCUAGCGUAGUUCGGAAUUACUGGGCUUAAAGAGUUCGUAGGUGGUUGAAAAAGUUGGUGGUGAAAUCCCAGAGCUUAACUCUGGAACUGCCAUCAAAACUUUUCAGCUAGAGUUUGAUAGAGGAAAGCAGAAUUUCUAGUGUAGAGGUGAAAUUCGUAGAUAUUAGAAAGAAUACCAAUUGCGAAGGCAGCUUUCUGGAUCAUUACUGACACUGAGGAACGAAAGCAUGGGUAGCGAAGAGGAUUAGAUACCCUCGUAGUCCAUGCCGUAAACGAUGUGUGUUAGACGUUGGAAAUUUAUUUUCAGUGUCGCAGCGAAAGCGAUAAACACACCGCCUGGGGAGUACGACCGCAAGGUUAAAACUCAAAUGAAUUGACGGGGACCCGCACAAGUAGUGGAGCAUGUGGUUUAAUUCGAAGAUACGCGCAGAACCUUACCAACACUUGACAUGUUCGUCGCGACUUUAAGAGAUUAAAGUUUUCGGUUCGGCCGGACGAAACACAGGUGCUGCAUGGCUGUCGUCAGCUCGUGUCGUGAGAUGUUGGGUUAAGUCCCGCAACGAGCGCAACCCUCACUUUUAGUUGCCAUCAUUAAGUUGGGCACUCUGAAAGAACUGCCAGUGAUAAGCUGGAGGAAGGUGGGGAUGACGUCAAGUCCUCAUGGCCCUUACGUGUUGGGCUACACACGUGCUACAAUGGUAUCUACAACAGGAAGCAAAACGGCGACGUUAAGCAAAUCCUUAAAAGAUACCUCAGUUCGGAUUGCACUCUGCAACUCGAGUGCAUGAAGCUGGAAUUACUAGUAAUCGUGGAUCAGCGUGCCACGGUGAAUGCG